AUGUAUGACAUGGAUCGCGUGUGCCUUAGUCUUGCCACCGACGGCACGCUCUCGGUGCUACGAAUGAAACAGACGGGUUCCGAGGUAGAGAUAUGGAGACAACAAGAGAACCAACAUACAAAAACAACCGGUGCCUUAGAAUGGCUGUGCUGUCAGACAAUCGAGUUAAUACCUCCUAGGAGGGAAACUCAAGGAAGGUGCGGCUUCUACAUACUGGGGGAGAAGUGUGGCAAAUUGCUUGUCAAGGACGAGUGCCGACGCUUGUACACCGCCAACCUCGAGACCGGGGCAAUGGAGUUGGUGGCGGACUGGCCUCGCAUGCGCCCCACCAGCAUUCCGGAUCUCGUGCCUUUGGAGAUGGACUGGCCGACAUUCUUCGUUUCUCGUCUUGGUACUGCCAGGUAUAUAUAUAGCUUCCUAGUCCUUUUCUGA
rnacentral:rRNA from 1 species